AGAGUUUGAUCCUGGCUCAGGACGAACGCUGGCGGCGUGCUUAACACAUGCAAGUCGAGCGGAAAGGCCCCUUCGGGGGUACUCGAGCGGCGAACGGGUGAGUAACACGUGGGUAAUCUGCCCAAGACACAGGAAUAACCCGGGGAAACCCGAGCUAAUGCCUGAUGAUGUGCCGGCCCUACGGGGCCAGUACCAAAGGUAGCUUCGGCCUCCGGUCUUGGAUGAGCCCGCGUCCCAUUAGCUUGUUGGUGAGGUAACGGCUCACCAAGGCUCCGAUGGGUAGCUGGUCUGAGAGGACGAUCAGCCACACUGGGACUGAGACACGGCCCAGACUCCUACGGGAGGCAGCAGUGGGGAAUCUUGCGCAAUGGGCGAAAGCCUGACGCAGCAACGCCGCGUGCGGGAAGAAGGUCUUAGGGUUGUAAACCGCUUUCAGCAGGGACGAAGGCUGUUGGGUUAAUAGCCCAAGAGUUGACGGUACCUGCAGAAGAAGGUCCGGCUAACUACGUGCCAGCAGCCGCGGUAAUACGUAGGGACCGAGCGUUGUCCGGAAUCAUUGGGCGUAAAGAGCGUGUAGGCGGCUUGUUAAGUCUUGCGUGAAAUCUCGGGGCUCAACCCCGAGCGGUCGUGAGAAACUGGCAGGCUAGAGUGCGGGAGAGGAGAGUGGAAUUCCUGGUGUAGCGGUGAAAUGCGCAGAUAUCAGGAAGAACACCCGUGGCGAAGGCGGCUCUCUGGAACGCAACUGACGCUGAGACGCGAAAGCGUGGGGAGCAAACAGGAUUAGAUACCCUGGUAGUCCACGCCGUAAACGAUGGACGCUAGGUGUGGGCGGUGUCGACUCCGUCCGUGCCGAAGCUAACGCAUUAAGCGUCCCGCCUGGGGAGUACGGCCGCAAGGCUAAAACUCAAAGGAAUUGACGGGGCCCGCACAAGCAGCGGAGCAUGCUGUUUAAUU
rnacentral:rRNA from 1 species